CUCACCUGUCCCUCACCUGUAUUUUACCUGUCCCUCACCUGUCCCUCACCUGUCCCUCACCUGUCUCUCACCUGUCUCUCACCUGUCCCUCACCUGUAUUUUACCUGUCCCUCACCUGUCCCUCACCUG